rnacentral:rRNA from 1 species
ACGACGCUGGCGGCGUGGCUAAGACAUGCAAGUCGAACGCGAACGAGAAGCUUGCUUCUCUAUUAGAGUGGCGAAAGGGAGAGUAAUGCAUAGUUAACGUGCCCAGGGCACAGGCAUAGCUGCGGGAAACUGCAGGUAAUUCCUGAUAAUCUCGAGAGGUCGCAUGACCAUUCGAGCAAAGCUCCGGCGGCCUUGGAGCGGACUAUGUGCUAUCAGCUUGUUGGUGAGGUAACGGCUCACCAAGGCUUAGACGGCUACCGGGACUGAGAGGUCGGCCCGGCUCAUUGGGACUGAGACACUGCCCAGACUCCUACGGGGGGCUGCAGUAACGAAUAUUCCGCAAUGGGCGCAAGCCUGACGGAGCGACGCCGCGUGCAGGAAGAAGUCCUUCGGGAUGUAAACUGCUGUCAGGGGUUAGAAAGGUUCAUUUCGGUGAAAUUGAUCAGCCCCAGAGGAAGCCACGGCUAACUUCGUGCCAGCAGCCGCGGUAAUACGAAGGUGGCAAGCGUUGUUCGGAAUCACUGGGCUUGAAGGGCGUGUAGGCGGCUAGGCAAGUCAGAGGUGAAAUCCCUCGGCUCAACCGAGGAAUUGCCUUUGAAACUGCCUAGCUUGAGCUGCGUAGGGGUCCGUGGAACUCUCGGUGGAGCGGUGGAAUGCGUAGAUAUCGAGAGGAACGCCGAUGGUGAAAACAACGGACUGGGCGCAUGCUGACGCUGAGGCGCGAAAGCGUGGGGAGCAAACGGGAUUAGAUACCCCGGUAGUCCACGCUGUAAACGAUGUGCACUAGGUCGAGGGGGUUCUGAAGCCUCCUGGGCCGAAGCUAAAGUGUUAAGUGCACCGCCUGGGGAGUACGGUCGCAAGCUAACUUAUAAUGUAAUGACGG